UGCUUUCAGUGACCCUUUUCGGUUAAAACUGAAUUUUGAAAAAAAUUCAAUGUACUGUCGCACUCAAUAUAAGUUGCAACACGAGCAUACAGCCGUCAGUUCUUUCGGUAAUAAAAAUGACAUGUACCAUUUUUCUUGUAAACAGGCAGGGGGCUACAAGUAAUCGGAACGGUGUUCAGUAAUUAUUUUCUGUAGGCGCUGCCAUGCUGCUAUACAGCACAGUAUGGCAGCAGGGCAGUGUCUCCACAGAAAAAAAAAAACGGAUUCUCUUGUUGCAACUCAUAUUGAGUGCAGUAGUGCCUCAGUCUUUUUUUUUUUUUUUUUUCGGUUGAAACCGAAAAUGCUGAACCUUAGAGAUACAGCACUUACAAUGGAUGAAAGACGAGAGCACGGGACAAGUACUUGUCCUGUGUUCUUGGCAGCCUCCAUGCCUUGUAGUAGCAUAUAAAUGUUUAUGGCCAGUUUUCUGCACCUAAAUUUACGUACUAUGUAAAUACUAUGUGCUGUUGCAGUUUACGGCAUGUACCACAUCUGCCACCAUGGCUGUGAGUGGCACUGGCCAACACUGACAGUGAUAGGUUUACUACACGUACACAAUUACCCAGAAAGUGGGUGGGGGGAACAGUUGCCAUGUGUCAUGUGGCAGUGGAAAGUACUCUUACCUUUUCAUUUCCUUUUUCUUUACGAUUUCUACAUUUUAACUUAAAAAGCAGUUCACUUCCCCUAUGCUUUCGUUGGCUUCAUUGUCUGUUGACUUUUUUUAGUUCUUUCUUUUUAUUGCCGCACCUCGCCCUUGCACCAGAAAAACCUAUAUAUCAUCAUACUUCUUACUUACUGUAUGGCUUACCAGUGACGCCAAUUCAACAUAGCCACAUUACUACAGGCACACACUUCAAUGCUUUUAUCGAGAUAUCUAGGUAUUUAUUAGGUGAAAAUAAAGAUGAUACUGGAUUGAGCA